rnacentral:lncRNA from 1 species
AGAAAUCCCGCGAAGGCCGCCCGAGAUCCUGGUGGAGGCGACGCUGUGUGCGUUUAUGGAGCGCUUGCGAUGGACAAGUGAGGACAUUCAUCGGCCGCAUUUUACCAAUGGCAAGGAGAUAGCGACUGAAGGGCAAGAACCUAGGGUUUCCUGUCUUUGAUAUUUCUCCAUCUUAGAGCAAAAGGAGAAAGGCCAUUAUGGGGAAAAAGAUCCAAAAGGACUCAUCUAAAACACAAGUUGGGUAGAGGAAAUAGGUGAGUACUAUUAUAUUAUGUUCAUGGAAAAUGAGUUCAUGGGCUUUCCUCUAAUUUUCAUUUUAAAAGUAAAUGUAAAUAUUAAAUAAAAUUUUUUAAAUGAA